rnacentral:tRNA from 1 species
GGCUCUAUAGCUUAGUUGGUUAAAGCGCCUGUCUCGUAAACAGGAGAUCCUGGGUUCGACUCCCAGUAGGGCCU